rnacentral:rRNA from 1 species
GACGAACGCUGGCGGCGUGCUUAACACAUGCAAGUCGAGCGGUAAGGCUCCUUCGGGAGUACACGAGCGGCGAACGGGUGAGUAACACGUGAGCAAUCUGCCCUUCACACGGGGAUAACUCCGGGAAACCGGUGCUAAUACCCGAUACGACCACUUCAGGCAUCUGAUGGUGGUGGAAAGUUCCGGCGGUGAAGGAUGAGCUCGCGGCCUAUCAGCUUGUUGGUGGGGUAAAGGCCUACCAAGGCAACGACGGGUAGCCGGCCUGAGAGGGUGACCGGCCACACUGGGACUGAGACACGGCCCAGACUCCUACGGGAGGCAGCAGUGGGGAAUAUUGGACAAUGGGCGAAAGCCUGAUCCAGCAACGCCGCGUGAGGGAUGACGGCCUUCGGGUUGUAAACCUCUUUCAGUAGGGACGAAGCGCAAGUGACGGUACCUACAGAAGAAGCACCGGCCAACUACGUGCCAGCCGCCGCCGUAACAC